ACCCGCACAAGCGGUGGAUGAUGUGGAUUAAUCGAUGCAACGCGAAGAACCUUACUACCCUUGACAUGUCCGGAACUUGCCAGAGGUGGCUUGGUGGCCCGAAAGGGGAAUCGGAACACAGGUGCUGCAUGGCUGUCGUCAGCUCGUGUCGUGAGAUGUUGGGUUAAGUCCCGCAACGAGCGCAACCCUUAUCAUUAGUUGCUACGCAAGGGCACUCUAAUGAGACUGCCGGUGACAAACCGGAGGAAGGUGGGGAUGACGUCAAGUCCUCAUGGCCCUUAUGGGUAGGGCUUCACACGUCAUACAAUGGUCGGUACAGAGGGUUGCCAAGCCGCGAGGCGGAGCCAAUCCCACAAAGCCGAUCGUAGUCCGGAUUGUUCUCUGCAACUCGAGAGCAUGAAGUCGGAAUCGCUAGUAAUCGCAGGUCAGCAUACUGCGGUGAAUACGUUCCCGGGUCUU
rnacentral:rRNA from 1 species